GAAAGAGGCUUGUACACAUAUUUAUCGAAACCUUUCCACUCUCGCGAUUUUCUCUCGGCGGCACCGAAGCGUCAACGUCGUCUCCAUCGCUGCUGUGUCGUCUCUUCCGGUGUUUACGACGAACGCGAGGAGAUAAUAUAAGUUGUGUCGGAGAGGAUGAGAUUAGUUGGGCUCACGGGAGGGAUCGCAUCGGGGAAGAGCACGGUCUCUAACCUCUUCAAGGCUAGUUACAUUCCUGUUGUUGACGCCGAUCUCAUUGCUCGAGAUGUUCUAAAGAAAGGAACUCGGGGUUGGAAAAAGGUCGUUGCAGCAUUUGGAGAGGAGAUCCUACUGCCCAGUGGAGAAGUUGAUCGCCCAAAACUCGGCCAGAUUGUGUUCUCUUCUCCUUCCAAACGCCAACUUCUGAACAAGUUGCUGGCACCGUAUAUAUCUUCUGGUAUCUUUUGGGAAAUCGUGAAACUAUGGGCCAAGGGUGCAAAAGUGAUCGUUCUCGAUAUCCCCUUGUUGUUCGAGGCCAAGCUGGAUAAAUGGACGAAACCCAUUAUUGUUGUGUGGGUGAAUCCUGAAACACAGCUUAAACGUCUCAUGGAGAGGGAUGGGUCGAACGAGGAAGAUGCGGGAAACAGAGUGAACGCUCAGAUGCCCCUGGAGUUAAAAAGGAGCAAGGCUGAUAUUGUGAUUGACAAUAACGGGUCACUCGAUGACCUGAACGAACAGUUCAAGAAGGUUUUGUUUGAAAUCAAAAGACCCUUAACGUGGGCCGAGUUUUGGCGUUCAAGACAAGGAGUUGUCUCUGUCCUUUCGCUAAUUCUAGGCGUCUUUGUCUGCAAACGGUUUUACAAUGGAUCAUAGCAGAUGUUUUUGCUCGGCGGACUCGUUUCCUUCCCGAGGUUUCUGCUCUUGCCCGUACUUCUGUUAUAGCUCGUGGGGGCAGUGGAAGAAUCUCGGAACAUUCAGACAAUCGGGCAAAUCAAUCUUCUUUCUCCAAACCCUUUUGGUGUUCAUUACGACAAAACUGCUUUUAAGUUGACACGCUUUAAUAGUUUCAUCAGGAGCUCCGUAAGAUCUCUAACGAUUAGGGUUUUAGAAGAUCUGAAUGCCAAAACAUUGGAUUUCUUGAUUUUAUGUUUGAAAGUCCUUUGUAAUUGACAUAUCUAUAUCGAUCAAAAUCACACAAUAAUUUU